UCAAUGUUAGUUAAGUGUAGCAUUGUGUGAUUGUGGAGUGGUGAACCGAAGUGGUGCAAUGAGGAUAAACACUGGUAUAACGAAACGUUACACAAUAAAAAGGAAGAGAGCUAUUUCUGGAAUACACUGCUAUUGAUAUGGAUUUGGAUGACAUAUUUGAGGCUUCUGAAAGUAAACAAAAGCAAAGUUUAUUGGUUGAGUGUUUUUAGGCUAUUCUGAUAGCUAUUGUCUAUAUCUUCAUUUUUUUCCAGUUCAGUUGAUUUUGGAUUGAUGGCAAAGGGAGAGAGAGGUUGUGAGAUUGUAAACACAAGCACAAGUAAGACAGGGGGAUUCGGUAGAGCCGGCAGACCCACUGCAAUGAGACGGCAUGAGACUCACCCUCCACCUAUGGAGUCUCAACUCCCUGGACUUCUCAAGCCUUUUGCUGCUCCUUAUUUUCAUAAACCAAACAUUAAGCUACCCAAUGGAGUGGUCUGUUUCGUGAAAAAUUAGAACGCAGUGUUUGAUUAUGAUAACCUCACAUAUGAGAUAAUUUUACAUAUUACAUAUAUGUAAUCUUAGAUCAUAGUUAGAUAACUCAUGUUGUUUUUAGCCAACUAUCUUUCAUCCAUAACAUCCAUACUCCUUUCUCAGAGUGAUUGGUGCAGCCCCAUGCAUCCUUGGUUGAGAGUAUAUGCAAGGAAAACCUGGAGGAAAGGGCAAAGACCAACUGUUUGAGAUGCUAUUCAUGUUUGGAGAUGUAUUUCAUGAAUUCAUUGCAGUCAAGAAGUGCAUAGUAAAAGGCAAAAUAUAAC
ensembl:lncRNA